UACGGAGGGGGCUAGCGUUGUUCGGAAUUACUGGGCGUAAAGCGCGCGCAGGCGGCGGUGCUGGCCCGGCGUGAAAGCCCCCGGCUCAACCGGGGAGAGUCGUCGGGGACCGCACCGCUUGAGGGCGGUAGGGGCUGGUGGAAUGCCUGGUGUAGUGGUGAAAUGCGUAGAGAUCAGGCAGAACACCUGGGGCGAAGGCGGCCAGCUGGGCCGUCCCUGACGCUGAGGCGCGAAGGCGUGGGGAGCGAACGGG
rnacentral:rRNA from 1 species